rnacentral:rRNA from 1 species
CCUACGGGAGGCAGCAGUGGGGAAUAUUGGACAAUGGGGGCAACCCUGAUCCAGCCAUGCCGCGUGUGUGAAGAAGGCCCUCGGGUUGUAAAGCACUUUCAGUGAGGAAGAACGCCUGGUGGUUAAUACCCAUCAGGAAAGACAUCACUCACAGAAGAAGCACCGGCUAACUCCGUGCCAGCAGCCGCGGUAAUACGGAGGGUGCGAGCGUUAAUCGGAAUUACUGGGCGUAAAGCGCGCGUAGGUGGCUUGAUAAGCCGGUUGUGGAAGCCCCGGGCUCAACCUGGGAACGGCAUCCGGAACUGUCAAGCUAGAGUGCAGGAGAGGAAGGUAGAAUUCCCGGUGUAGCGGUGAAAUGCGUAGAGAUCGGGAGGAAUACCAGUGGCGAAGGCGGCCUUCUGGACUGACACUGACACUGAGGUGCGAAAGCGUGGGUAGCAAACAGGAUUAGAUACCCUUGUAGUC